AUGAUGGUUUGCCUUAUCAUCUCAAGUCAUGUUUCCUAUAUAUGCCCAUCUUUCCCGAAGAUUACAAGGUUGGACGGGGACGAUUGGCACGUUAAGGUUGGACGGGGACGAUUGGCACGUCGGUGGAGUGCAGAGGGUUACUCAAGGGACGUGCAUGGCAAGUGUGCGAUGGAAAUAGCGGACGGCUACUUCAUGGAACUUAUAAGCAGGAGUAUGAUCCUACCAUCUCAACAAUCAAUCGUCGGUACAAAUGGAAUUGGUUCCUGCCAAGUUCAUGAUCUUAUCCGUGAAAUUGGUGUCUCCGAGUCGAUGGAAGAAAAUCUUGUUUUUACACUGGAGGAAGGUUGCAGCUCGAACAGCCAGACCACGUUGCGCCACCUGACUAUAAGCAGCAACUGGAAGGGAGAUAAGAAUGAGUUUCAGAGCAUAGUGGACAUGUCCCGUCUAUGGUCAAUUACAUAUUCACUGGGCAACCUGAGGCAACUCGAGACACUAGAUGUCAGAGGUACUAGGAUUGUCAAGUUGCCAAAGAGCAUCAUCAAGCUUCAGAAGCUAAACUAUCUUCGAGCUACCACAAUGCCAACUGAGGAUGGUGUGCUAGUUCCAAGAGGGUUGAGGAAACUAAAAGCCCUGCACACAUUGGGUGUUGUGAACAUCGGAACACGAGGGAAGGUUAUUAUACAGGACAUAAAAGGACUCACGCUGUUGCACAAGUUGGGAGUGACUGGCGUCAAUAAGGAAAAAGGCCAGAAGUUGUGUUCAACAAUUGUUGGUCUGAGCCGCCUGGAGUCAUUGUCAAUCCGAUCAGAGGGGGAGCCUGGUUUAUGUGGCUGCUUGGAGGGAAAGUUCUCAUUUCCUGAGACACUGCAGAGCCUCAAGCUUUACGGUAACCUGCUCAAGUUGCCAGAAUGGAUCCAGGGGCUCAAGAAUCUAGAGAAGCUGAAGCUGCGGAGCUCCAUGAUACUAGAGCACGAUGCUUUUCUUUUUUUUU
rnacentral:rRNA from 1 species